CGGAGGGUGCAAGCGUUAUCCGGAUUCACUGGGUUUAAAGGGUGCGUAGGUGGGUUGGUAAGUCCGUGGUGAAAUCCCCAAGCUUAACUUGGGAACUGCCGUGGAUACUAUCAAUCUUGAAUAUCGUUGAGGUAAGCGGAAUAUGUCAUGUAGCGGUGAAAUGCUUAGAUAUGACAUAGAACACCGAUAGCGGAGGCAGCUUACUAAGCGAUCAUUGACACUGAGGCACGAAAGCGUGGGGAGCAAACAGGAUUAGAUACCCUGGUAGUCCACGCCCUAAACGAUGAUUACUCGACAUACGCGAUACACAGUGUGUGUCUGAGCGAAAGCAUUAAGUAAUCCACCUGGGAAGUACGAUCGCAAGAUUG
rnacentral:rRNA from 1 species